UACGGAGGGUGCGAGCGUUACCCGGAUUUACUGGGUGUAAAGGGCGUGUAGGCGGUCUCUCAAGUCCGAUGCUAAAGACCAAGGCUCAACCUCGGGAGUGCGUUGGAUACUGUGAGGCUAGACGGUCGGAGAGGGUAGCGGAAUUUCCGGAGUAGCGGUGAAGUGCGCAGAUACCGGAAGGAACGCCAAUAGCGAAAGCAGCUACCUGGACGAUUUGUGACGCUGAGGCGCGAAAGCGUGGGGAGCAAACCGG
rnacentral:rRNA from 1 species